rnacentral:lncRNA from 10 species
CAAAAAUCAGCCAGGCACGGUGGCAGGCGCCUGUAAUCUCCGCUACUCGGGAGGCUGAACCAGGAGAAUCACUUGAACCCUGGAGGCGGAGGUUGCAGUGAGCCGAGAUCACGCCAUUACACUCCAGUCUGGGCAACAGAGUGAGACUCCUUCUGAAAAACAAACAAACAAAAACUGCCUUUCUAUAACAGAGAAUGAACAGCCACAAUCAGCUUCCUGAAAGUCAAUAUUUUCAAUUACAAAUUUCGCUGUCAACAGUCACCAAAAUCACUAACUUUGCACACAGUGUCACUAAGCCUCAAUCAUCUCAUACUUUAAAGUCUUCUAAAUUUGGGGAGGAGGGUGGAAAAGAUUAAAAUAAAAAUAAAGUCUCCUAAACUUGAUUUCUGUGGCCAGUUUCAACCCAUUUCAGGCACUUCCUCCUUCCUUCCAAACAGUUAUUAUCCAAAAAGAUAUAACCAAUCACAUCACUUCCCAGAUUAAGAACUUUUCAAACAUCUUAUCGUACUUCUCCAGACUCAACUCCUACCAGCCCAUGGUCCAACCACAAUGAACUUCUAUCCAUGCCAUUCUUUUCAGCAAACACCUAUUCAUCCUUCAAGACUCUGCUAAGUUUCCUUGAAGCUGAUGUUAUAAUGGCUUGUCUUGGAUUUUAAUCCUGGCCCCACCACUUAUACAAUUGAGAAGCUUAUCAUCAAUAAAACUGUAAUAUUUCAAUUUUGAAGAUUAAAUAUACAAACAUAAAAUCCACUCAAUACUUUAACUUUCCCUUUUUUCAGUUCUCCCAAGUAGAACUGGUUGGUUCUUUAUUCUCACUGCAGUCUGCUCACCCCUCUAGUAUACAAUUAGUACAUUAUAACUCACCUGUUAAAAUGUUUGUCUUCCCAGUUAAGCUCAGUUUCCAGGAGAUAAUUAUGUCUUAUUUCUGUAUAUGGAGCACAAUGCUUGCCACAGAGCAGAUGCUUAAAACGUGUUUCCUAAAUGAAUUUGAGCUGCUCUCUGAAACCCCAGACUUUAGCUGAGAGCAAAUUCUCUAAUUUGCAUCCUUCUUUUUGCAAAAGGGGAAAGGGAGGGAGGGGGAAGGAAUGAUAAGAAAAAUGCCUAUGUCACUAUCGCUUCUAUUUUUCUCUUUAAUCAGUUGGGUAUUCUAUUGGAGGGUUUUCCCUCUUCUCUAAGCACUCCAGCAAUACUAAAUGUCUGUCAAAACUACAUCCAGUUUAUUUCUCCCAUCUCCCUUGUCCUCAAAUCUGAUUAACUGCUUUAUACUGUUCAUCCUACCAUAAUUUAUUUUUCAACCUCUCUUCCUCACUUAUGCCACUCAUUUAAAUGCUCAUUAAUUUUGUCUAAAGUCUUAUUAUAGCCUGGCCAAUAAGCCUGCCUCCCUCAAUUGUUAUCUUGCUGCCAGAUUCAUCUUCAUGUAACUUCACUGCUCCAAAACUUUCAAUGACUUACAAUUAUCUACAAAUCAGGUGCCCCAGAACUUGGCCCCAAACCACGUUGCCAUAAUUUCCGGCUGCCCCUCUUCAUGAAUUCCACAAUACAACCAAACUGUAACACUCGAAACUCCCUCCACACUACCCACUAUUAAAUACUUUCCUACCUCCACUCCUUUGCCUGGCAAGUCCAACCUUCAGCCCUUCUGUGCCUGCCUGAAUGCAACCUUUCCUUCAAAUCCCCAUUUGGC